CUAAUAGAGUGGUAUAAAUCAAAUGCUAUUGGUAUACAAAAGGACAAAUUUUGUCAGCCAAGUGUAUGGGUAUCUUCAAAGAGCACAGGUGCCAUCUGUUCUGAGCUAAUGACCCAUUGAAGAAGGCCACACCAAAUUUGGGGGAAAAGCAGCAUAAACAAAUGCCAGAGUAUUUUCCAGGCAGGGUGUAUUUGGAGAAUCUCCUAAUGUUGUAUAUUUAAUUUGUCCUUUGUCCAAGAAUAAUGCAAUGAACUAGGCAACUAGUUGAAUAAAAAUUGAAACCAAGUUCAAACAAGCCUAUUGAAAAAUGGGCAAAAGACUGGAAAAACAUGGCCAAUAAGCGUAAGAAGAGAUGUUCAGCUUGAUCAGUCAUCAAGAAACUACAAAUCAAGACCACACUGAGGCUGGGUGUGGUGGCUCAUGCCUGUAAUCCCAGCACUUUGGGAGGCCGAAGUGGGCAAAUCACUUGGACAGGAGUUUGAGACCAGCCUGGGCAACAUGGUGAAACCCUGUCUCUACUAAAAAUACAAAAAGUUAGCUGGGCAUGGUGGUACACACCUGUAAUCCCUGUUACUCCGGGGCUGAGGCACAAGAAUCACUUGAACUCUGGAGAGAGAGGUUGCAGUAAGCGGACAUCAGCCACUGCACUCAAGACUCUCUCUCUCUCUCUCAAAAAAAAAAAAAAAAAAAGACCACAAUGAAAUACAACUUUGGACUCAGUAGAUUGACAAAAAUUAACAAAUGUUACACAGAAUCUCUUAUAUUGCUGGUAGGAGUAUAAAUUGUUUCAAUUAUUUUUGAAACUAAGGGUUUGCAUUAUCUUGUGAAGUUUAAGAUAGAUUCACAUAUAUGCUCAAGCAGCAAUUCCACCUCUGGGUAUUUACCUAAAGGAAAUGAUAGCAUGAAUGCCCCAGGAGACAUGGUCAUUAAAGUUCUUAGUAGAACUGCGCACAAUAGCAACAACAAACCAAAUGCCCAUUGACGAGAGUGGAUGAAUAAAUUAUGGUGAAAUAUUUUGCAGUCAAAAUUAACAGAUAAAUCCAAUAUGACUUAACAGUGGUUUACAGCGAAUGUUUUCUCUGCUGACACAUCAAUACUUGUGUCUUCAUAUGUUUAGCAUUUUUAUUCUGAACUUAUAUGUGGUUGAAGGUCAUCUGUGGGAGUCAGAAACUAAAUUGAGCAUGCUGCCUCCAGAGAGAAUUAGCAUUUGCUUGUUUUUUUCGGGUAACAUACUGCUAUGGACUGGGGCCACUUUAGCCCUGUUUGAGUAUCCUAGGCUAUUAGUAGAGUCAAGUUUUACUUCUUACAACUUAUUCCCAAGGCUUAUUCUCCAGUGUAACCCUAGAUUUAUUUUUUUAAUAUUUUUAUCUUUUUUAAGAUUCAAGGGAUACACAUGCAGGUUUGUUACAUGAGUAUUGCAUAAUGCUGAGGUUCAGGCUUCUGAUGACCCCAUCACCCAAGUAGCAAACAUAGUACCCGAUAGGUAGUUUUUUAGUUUUUCAACCCUUGCCCCACUCCCUCCCUUCCCAUGAAUCCCCAGUGUUAGAAAUGCUUGUUCCCCAGUGCCGUAAAGAAAUAGCACUUGAACAUAAAUUUAAUUUCUUCAGCAAGGCCAUUUUUACUUUCUGCAGAAAGGGUACACUCGCUAGCAGUUUUGUCACCAGAGUACACAGAACAAAGGAGACAGGGUCAUUUAUAACCUGAUGCGUCCACACUACUGCUGUGUCCGAUUUCCACUGGCUGGAACGGGACCUCACAUUCUGUAUUUGUCCUGAUUGGCUAGCAACUUAGAACCUUUUAAAAGAGGCAAAGGCAGAGGAGAACAAAGGAAGGAGGAAGUAACUUGUGGAAUGCUGAGAAAGGUAAAAACACCUUCAAAUAAGGAAGAGGAACAGGCUAUGACCUAAUGCUUGCUUGGACCAGUAUAAGCAUGCCAGGGCAAAUAUUUAGGCUAAAUUGUGGGAGAUAACAUAAAGUACAUUGAUUUCUUUAUUACAGCUAGCAGAUAUUUAAGAAUGUUGGCACAGGUCUUUGAAUAAAUUUUGCUUCUAAGGAAAGUUACUGUUUAUUCCUAAUUAGAUGGGGAAGAAAGUCUUUGAAGAGGAACCUCUACUUUUUUUUUUUUUUUUUUUUUACACCAGUGUCUAUUGUUCCUAUCUUUGUGUCCAUGUGUACACAAUGUUGAGUUCCAACUUACAAGUGAGGACAUGCAGUAUUUGUUUUUCUGUUUCUGCAUUAAUUUGAUUAGGCUAAUGGCCUCCAGCUGCAUCCAUGUUGCUGCAAAGGACAGGAUUUCAUUCUUUUUAAUGGCUGUAUAGUAUUCCAUGGUGUAUAUGUACCACAUUUUCUUUAUCUAGUCCACCAUUGAUGGGUACCUGGGUUGAUACCAUGCCUUUGCUAUUGUGAAUGGUGGUGUGGUAAACAUAUGAGUGCAGGUGUCUUUUUGGUAGAACGAUUUAUUUUCCUCUGAGUAUAUACCCAGUAUGGGAUUGCUGGGUAAAUAAUAAUUCCAUUUUUAGCUCUUUGAGAAAUCUCCAAACAGCUUUCCACAUAGGCUGAACUAAUUUGCAUUCCCACCAACAGUGUGUAAUUGUUCCCGUUUCUCAACCCUGGAAGGGUUAUUCAGAUAGUGUUUGCCAGACUGCUGGAAGUGUAUUUCACUAACUAUAGUUUGAUUCAUAUGUCUUCCCUAUCUGUAAAUUCCUUGAAAGAAGGAACUUCUGACCUAAAAUUUUGAAUAAAACAUUAAAGUUUUAGGGAAAUUUGGCUGGGUGCAGUAGCUCAUGCCUGUAAUCUCAGCACUUAGGGAGGCCAAGGUGGGAGGAUUACUUGAGCCCAGAAGUUCAAGAACAGCAUGGGCAACAUAGUGAGACCCUCAUCUCAAAAAUAACAAAUAAAAUAAAGUUUUGGGGAAAAUUCUUAUAUAUUUAGAUACUAUGGUAACGUUUUAAUAAAAUAAACUGAGUUGCUUUUCAUGUAUUUCUGUUUUCUAAAAAUUAUGCGCUAUAUUAAUUACCUGUUCCUGCCCUGGAGAUGAUGUUUGGUUAUAUUUUCAGGUUCUUUCACUAUUUUUAUUUUUGUCUGUUUGGACUUACAACUUUUAUCUAUGUUAAAUCUGGUAUUUAUACUUCCCUUUAAAGCCAUAUAUUUUAUCAAAAAAUUAUUAGAGAAAAUUUAUACUCACAUGGUAUUUUCUAAUAUUAAAAACUCCUUAAAAAAACUCAUGUCUGUCACCUUGCUCAUUUCCUUUUUUUAUUUUUUGAGACAGAGUUUCCCUAUUGUCACCCAGGAUAGAGUACAGUGGCACGAUCUCAGCUCACUGCAACCUCCACCUCCCAGGUUCAAGCUAUUCUUCUGCCUCAGCCUCCUGAGUAGCUGGGCUGGCAGGCGCCCGCUACCAUGCCCGGCUAAUUUUUGUACUUUUAGUAGAGACGAGGUUUCGCCAUGUUGGCCAGGCUGGUCUCAAACUCCUGACCUCAGGUGAUCCGCCCACCUAUUGAGUGCUGGGAUACAGGCAUGAGCCACCACGCCCGGCCCACCUUGCUCAUUUCUAAUUUUGUUUUAUCUUCCGAUUAUAUUUUUUCAGAAAUUUGUCUGUUAGUUUCUUCAAGAAAUUAUCAAUUUAUCCUUUUAGAAAUGUUUAAUAAUUUCUAUUGUUAUUUCUUAUAUUCUAACCUUUUUUAAUUUUUAUGUUUUUGUUUUUGUUUUUUUUUUGUUUUUUUGUUUUUUUGCAUUUCUUCUUUUCUCCUCAGUUCAUUUUAGAUUCUUUGUUUUUAAAAUAACACCAUUGGCCUGGCGUGGUGGCGCCACCUGAAAUCCCAGCAUUUUGAGAGUUUGAGAUGGGUGGAUCACUUGAGCCCAGGAGUUCGAGACUAGCUUGGGCAACAUGGUGAAACCCUGUCUCUACCAAAAAAAUACAAAAACUAGCAGGACAUGGUGGCAUGUGCCUGUAGUCCCAGCUACUUGGGAGGCUGAGGUAGGAUAAUGACUUGAGCCCGGGAGGUCAAGGCUGCAGUGAGCCACUGCACUCUAGCCUGGGUGACAAGGCAAGACCCUGUCUCAAAAAUUAAAUUAAUAACACCAUAAUUUAUGGGUGUGUAUUUAUUUAUAGCUUUAGCCACAUAUAAACUCUUAAAAUGUUAUAGUGUAUUUUAUUACUUCCUAAGUAAUCUAUGAUUUUAUUUUUACUUCAUCUUAACUCACUUAUUGAAGAGGUUAAUAUUUUAGGUAGUUGAAAUGUUUUCCUGUUUUAAUUGUCAGUAUUAAUUUCUAGUUAUAAAUUUGGACUAAAGAAUGUGACCUGAGCAAUUUCUUCAUUUUGGAUAUUACUGAAGUUUUAUUUGUGACCAAUAUUUGAAACCAUUUCAUGGUUCCUGAACAAGAAAGCAUGGUAUAUGCUUCAAAAUACAACAAUCAACUUAUAGCUGUAUUCAGUGUUGUUAAUUGUAUUUUGAAAGUAAAAACUAACCAUUGGUUUUUGUCUACCUGAUAUAUAUGUGCCUGAUAGUAUCUUGUUUUCCCCUGCUAUGUUUUUGUUUCUGUCAAUGUAUCAUAUUUUAAAUCAUAGUUAUUUUAUAAAAUGUGAGAGUUAUUAUUUAAACCAUGCCUUCUUUAGAGGUUGGACCUUUUAUCAAUGUGAAUAACUCUUUUUGUCCUUUGGAUAUCAAUUAAAUUGAAUUCUAAUUUUUUUUUUUAACCUUACCUCAGGUGCUGUUUGGCUCCUGCAGCCAAAUACACUGAUGAUCUAAUUAAAAUGUUUAUCUCCCCCAAAUUUUAAGAACUUUAUUUGGGUUAUUUGGAAUAAUGUAUAAAAUAUCUAUAUAGAUUAUUAUAUAAUUCAGGGGGAAGCAAAUUAUCAGAACAAUUUCAUGUUAUACAAAUAACAUCAGAAAAAUAUCUUAAAUUAUAUGGCAUAUUCUAUUGAUUCAUCCACAAAUUUAUAAGUCCUUACCACCUUUCAUUAUAUUGGUACUAGGCAUUAUAGUGGUGCUAGGCAUUAUAGUAAUGCUGGGGUAUAAACAAGAAUAAAACAAAAUAAGUUCCUUAUUUCAGGGAACUUACAGUAUAGGUCAGUGGUUCUUAGCUUUUUUUUAAAUUAUGAAUUCCUUUGAAAGUCUAGUAAAAUAAUCCAACACCAUUAUUCCCCAUUGCACAUACCCCCAGAUGUUUUAGACAUAUUUUCAAUUGCUCCAUGGACCUCAAGAAAACUUGGUUGGUGUGCAGUGUGGUGUAUUAUGGGUAAGACUGGACCUGGUGUUAGAAAAUCUGCAUUUGAGGCUUUGUUCUGACAGUGUCUAGUGUAAACAUGGGCAGACCACUUAAACCUCUCUUUAGUCUUCUCUGUAGAAUGAUGAUAAUACCAUCUAAUUAGCAGGAUUGUUGUUUUAUUCAGUGAGACAGCAUAUGUAAAGAACUUAGUAAAAUAAAAAGCAACGUGUUUAUAA
rnacentral:sRNA from 1 species